rnacentral:rRNA from 1 species
UGGGGUAUAUUGCACAAUGGGCGAAAGCCUGAUGCAGCGACGCCGCGUGGGGGAUGAAGGCUUUCGGGUUGUAAACCUCUUUCGCUAUCGAACAAGGCCCGCUUAGGGUGGGUUGAGGGUAGGUGGAGAAGAAGCGCCGGCUAACUACGUGCCAGCAGCCGCGGUAAUACGUAGGGCGCGAGCGUUGUCCGGAAUUAUUGGGCGUAAAGGGCUUGUAGGCGGCUUGUUGCGCCUGCUGUGAAAACGCGGGGCUUAACUUCGCGCGUGCAGUGGGUAGGGGCAGGCUUGAGUGUGGUAGGGGUGACUGGAAUUCCAGGUGUAGCGGUGGAAUGCGCAGAUAUCUGGAGGAACACCGAUGGCGAAGGCAGGGCACUGGGCCAUUACUGACGCUGAGGAGCGAAAGCAUGGGUAGCGAACAGG